GAUCCUGGCUCAGGAUGAACGCUGGCGGCGUGCUUAACACAUGCAAGUCGAACGGGAAACCUUUUAUUGAAGCUUCGGCAGAUUUAGCUGGUUUCUAGUGGCGGACGGGUGAGUAACGCGUGGGUAACCUGCCUUAUACAGGGGGAUAACAACCAGAAAUGGUUGCUAAUACCGCAUAAGCGCACAGGACCGCAUGGUCCGGUGUGAAAAACUCCGGUGGUAUAAGAUGGACCCGCGUUGGAUUAGCUAGUUGGCAGGG
rnacentral:rRNA from 1 species